CUAAAGCCGACGCAGAGCCAAACACCACAAACCAUCUUCAUCUUCGGUUUCUCUUGUUCGAUCAGGAUUGUGUUAGUGCGAUCAAGGAAACGCAUGUACGUGUCAAAGUGUCCAAAGUUGAUGUUCCAAGAUUCCAUAGGAGAAAAGAUUUCCCCACACAAAAUGUUUUGGUGGUUUGUAUAUUCGACUUGGCUUUUACAUACGACUUUUUUAGGUGGGAGGGGACCGCAUCAGAUUUAAGAGUAAUGAAACAUGCAUUAACGAGAGCUGAUGAUCUUCUCAUUAUUCCAAAGGUGAUUAAAAAGUUCAAAUUUCAAAAUGUAAAUUUUUUUUAUAACUUUACGUAAUGUUUUUAAGUUCUACCAAAAA